AAGGGGAGGGGCAGAGUGGUCGUCCCACCCUGAAUCAGGUCCUCUUUGGAAAGAGAUUUGGGACCCACAGUCCUACCCCUAGCCCAAGCUAGGGAACCAAUACGCCCCUCGCCGCCUCUCGGACAAAAUGUCAAGUACAAGUUCAAGUCCAAGUUCAGGGCCGUGCCCCGGGGGGCGCAACUCUUUCCCGUCACCGCCUUUUGUUCUUCCUCUGACAAUCGCUCUUUAUUCCUCCUCUGGGGCUGGGCCCGGCUUCUAGCUGCUGCGGGCAAACUCUCCCUGCCCCACUGAGGCCAACCGUGAGACGUUCUUGCAGUUUAGACUCCUCCUCAGUCGCAAGGGAACGAAGGCUUUGGGGGACUAGUAGUAGCUAUCAGAAGCCCUUGGGAGAGUUUUACUCUCCUUCCCUUUUCUCCUCCCAGUUCAAUUUGGGACAAACUUUCCGUUCCAUCUUCGAGCUCCUUUCAACACACUCGGCCGCUUGGGUUCGUUUUCAGCUUCAUUAUUCAAAGGAACUUUAUCGAUCUUUCCUUUGUCCGUCAUUUCUUCUCCUGAGGGACCCAGUGGGUAUGGAACACGAUAGAGUUUGUCUCCUGGAAUUGAGGACGAGGCACUAGUAACCUCCAAGUCGACAGAUAUUUAUUGCUGCCUACUGCCUGCCAGGCACUGUGCUAAUCUAUGGGGAUAAAGAGAAAGGCAAAAACAGUCCCUGCCCUUAAGGAGCUCACAAUCUACUGAGGGAGACAGCAGACAAACAAUUAUGAACAGACGAGAAACGAGACGAAUUGGAGAUAGUCUGAGCGGGAAAGCACAACAUUAUGGAG
rnacentral:lncRNA from 1 species